CUGGACUGGCGGAGCCCGGGGAGUGAAGUAGUGAAAUCGGACCUACGCCUCUCCAACGCUCGCGUGAUCACGUGGUUGGCACCCAGGCGGAAGUCUGCGGCAGUUCUUUGCGGUGAAGAACUUGCAAAGCGUUGCUGGAAAAGACGGGAGUUCUACUGACACUCCAGUCCAAAGCUAGGUGGGACCGCCUCCUGUCGCACGUUUCCGCCUGGUCCCGCGCUUUAGGAGCUAGGAAAUGUGACAGAGGCGGUGCCUACUGCCUCGCUAGGAAUGGCCGCGGAGGAGGACUGGUCACGUGGCGUGGCUUCCGGCCUCUGGCGCGUUCCUAUUCGGGAAGGUUUUAAAUGCGGAGUCAUCUCUUGAUUUGUCAGCGAGGCUUUGACUGUGAGCUUCGCGGCGUUCGCGCCUCACCGCCUCACCGAGGGUGGGUCUUUCGCGCGCAGAAUUGUGUAGGAUUUUCCAAAGGGAGUAAAAGCCGAUCGGGGCCUACUUUUAACAUUCCACAAUUAGUAACGUCUGAUUCGUUUGUUUCCACAGUGGGUACGCUGCGAAGACUAGGCUUAUGUUACCCAGAGGUUAGUCCUCUACUAGGCCACGUACUUUAAAUAAUUUAUCACGCUAGUGGAAAUGCGGGGUGGAAGAAAACCCCACCAGCCUUUGGAUUGUAACAGCACAGUAACUUUCCCUGGUUUUUAAAAAUAUUGCCAAAAUACUGCGACUCCAUGUGGCCAACGUAUAGUGACUGAUCACUUUGAAAUGCAUGCCCUUGACCCACCAACUCGCAUGGCCUCUCGCUAUAAGAGAGCAAGCCGGCUGUGUUCCAUGUUCAAUUCAAUAAGUGCAAUUCAAUAAGCUUUUGACUUGUUCUGCCCAAGCAAAUCCUGCCUUUAUAUCGACCUUGCAAGCAGAACAGAGAAUGCUGUUUGGAAGGCAGAAUUCAUAGUACCUAGUUUUCUUGUCCCUGGGAAUUUUGAGGGACUUGAAAUGUCGCGUGGAUGAGUGAGGGAGUUUGUCUUCCAGAGACAAAGCAAAACGAAACGUCAAAGUUCUGUGCUGGUGAAACCAGAUUUGAAGAAUAUCAAAGGCGUCUUACCAAAGAGGAAAAAAAAUGCAUCUUGCCAAGACUUGAAGAAAGGGAUUAGAGAAACCAGAGGCCUUGAAUACUCAGAAAAUGGGAGAUUGUGAAUGGGUGUAGAGGAUAUCUAUGAACCUUGACAUUUCUUUUCACGCCAAGUCCAUUCCCCUGUUAACAGUUGCUUCCCAGUUUCCUGCACAGCUGCAUGGUCUGGGACACUUAAAGAAAAAAAUCACAGGAAAUCAGUGUUCUUGGUAUAUUAUAUAAAGUUAUGAUUCUAUCAACAUUUGUAAUUCAUUUAAUAUUCAGGUGACAGCCCGAAAAUUUACACUAAACAAUACCAUUCCUGUUAAGUUUUACUACAUAUUGAGAGGACUUCUUGUUACCUCCCUAUUACAUACUCCCAAACGCUUUGCACAUGGAAUCCCUCACCUUCCACCUAGUUUUCCCCCCUACUAUUGAUAUUCUUGACUAAAAGGUUGAGUAGUUUCGCCAUCAAUUAAAGUUAAAACCACUGCAGACAGGACAGGGAAGAAAAGCUACGAGGUUUGCUCUUCACAGAAUUAAUCUGUGAAAUAAUGGAUUGUAGUUACUGGAUUAAAAUGGCAGAAAACCUAGUCUUGGCCUCCUUAAGACCAUCAGACUCCCUGGAGGCUCUGAGUUGGCUUCUCUCUUUACACCUAGAUUGCAACAAGACCUAAGCACUUGGUUAAUAUUUACCCAGGAACUUAGAUUGCUUGUGUGUCUGGCAUCUAGCCAUCAUGGAUUCCAUUCCAAUAUAUUGGUUUUCCAGUCCCUCAAUAGCUGUUAUAUGCCUUCAUUGCAACAUAUGUGUGCCAUCCAGUUUAGUUUCGGAAAGAAAUAUUUUCUGUUAUACCAAAAUUGUAGGACUGAAUACUUGGAAGCUGCAGCCCUUUAAUUCACAAAACAAAAUUUGUGAGAGAAAACUUCUCCCAAGUAAGAUUACAUUUAGCAUCAUAUUUAAAUUGUUUCUAUCUGAACUUUUUAUUCUUGGUCUCCUACAGCUUGAAUGACGUUUCUAACUUUAACAGCUCUUUCUACUAUAUAAAACAUUUAUACAGGAUUUGCUGUUUGUGAUCUUACACUUUGUAGCAGCUAUGUACUUAGAUAGAUACAUAAUAGUACUCUCCUUGUGAUGAAUGUUUAUGUGUUUUUUUUAACUUCAAAAUGAUUUAUACUGGGAGUUAAAAUGUUGCGUCUUUCUUUUAAUAUGCAGCCUAAACACUAGAUAACUGUAAAACAA
rnacentral:lncRNA from 1 species